rnacentral:rRNA from 1 species
CUUUCCCUCUUGCUUCAUGCUUUACACAUGCAAGUCGAACGGCAGCGCGGGCUUCGGCCUGGCGGCGAGUGGCGAACGGGUGAGUAAUACAUCGGAACGUGCCCAGUAGUGGGGGAUAGCUCGGCGAAAGCCGGAUUAAUACCGCAUACGACCUGAGGGUGAAAGCGGGGGAUCUUCGGACCUCGCGCUAUUGGAGCGGCCGAUGGCAGAUUAGCUAGUUGGUGGGGUAAAGGCCUACCAAGGCGACGAUCUGUAGCUGGUCUGAGAGGACGACCAGCCACACUGGGACUGAGACACGGCCCAGACUCCUACGGGAGGCAGCAGUGGGGAAUUUUGGACAAUGGGCGAAAGCCUGAUCCAGCAAUGCCGCGUGUGUGAUGAAGGCCUUCGGGUUGUAAAGCACUUUUGGCGGGAACGAAAAGGACUGUGCCAAUACCACGGUUCGAUGACGGUACCCGCAGAAUAAGCACCGGCUAACUACGUG